UACAGAGGGGGCAAGCGUUGUUCGGAAUUACUGGGCGUAAAGGGCGCGUAGGCGGCCUGCUAAGUCGAACGUGAAAUCCCUGGGCUCAACCCAGGAACUGCGUCCGAUACUGGUUGGCUUGAAUCCGGGAGAGGGAUGUGGAAUUCCAGGUGUAGCGGUGAAAUGCGUAGAUAUCUGGAGGAACACCGGUGGCGAAGGCGACAUCCUGGACCGGUAUUGACGCUGAGGCGCGGAAGCCAGGGGAGCAAACGGG
rnacentral:rRNA from 1 species